CCCUUAGACGUUCUGGGCCGCACGCGCGCUACACUGACCAGUGCAACAAGCAUCCGUCCUUGGCCGACAGGCUCGGGCAAUCUUUGAACGCUGGUCGUGAUGGGGAUAGACUUUUGCAAUUUUUGGUCUUCAACGAGGAAUUCCUAGUAAACGCAAGUCAUCAACUUGCAUUGAUUACGUCCCUGCCCUUUGUACACACCGCCCGUCGCACCUACCGAUUGAACGGUCCGGUGAAGCCUCCGGAUUGGCGCGCACCUCGGUACCGCCGAGAAGUUGGCUAAACCUUACCAUUUAGAGGAAGGUGAANUCGUAACA
rnacentral:rRNA from 1 species